CGCAUUUCAUUUUACAUGCCUUAUCAUUUCAUUUCUAUGGCCGCCUUCAAGGUGUGGCUCUGUUGCUUUCUUAGAUCUACUUCUCCUGCUUUCUCUUUUAUCGUUUUUUCCUUCAAAUUCGUUUAGAUCGUAAGACGAUCUACCUUUUGGCUAUGGAUUUGUAGCGCUUCGGUUUACAGUUGGGUUUUCACCGGUUGAUUGAUCGACCGAUGAUUUUCUUCGGGCUGCGGAUGUGGAAGGGUGUCGCGUUGGUAGAUCUGAUGCGGUGUUCAACACAUCGAUAAAGGAGUGAUAUAUGGGUGUGGAUUAAUGAUCCGCUUAGCCAAGUGCGUUCUCCUUUUUAAGUGGAUGAUUACGAGGUGAACUCGCGAAUAUAUUCUGCUUAUGGUAAUUUAUUGGGUCAGCUGGAAUUUCGUGGAUCUGGACUGCACGUCUGUAAUGCUGUUUCCCGCUGUUAAUUAACGUCGCUGGAUCUUGAAUGAUCUCCUGAUGCUGGAUGGAUAUCAAGCUGUCAAGCUCCUGGUGCAAUACACGGUUCUGAAGGAACUAUAUUUUUAAGGGAAGUGAUUGUGAUUUAUUUAACAUUCUUGCAUAUUUCAUAUAUGGCGAGGUAAGUCUUGUAUAAGAAAAGAGAGGGAGAAUGAUUCUGUGGAAAAAAGAGAUGUGAAGUUGAGGUGAGAUGUGGUUGUCAAAAUGACCUUUGCCAUGAUGGGUGCGCUCGCAUGGCAGGUCAACUCAUAAUAAAAAAGAUAUUUUUUGUUUUGAGGGGGAGAUGGCACGGGGAUUGGCCCGGCUCUCCCUCCUGUGUGCGGUGUCCUGGCCCUUGUUUUUGGUUCUUUUUUUGUUCUGCAUCCCAACAGUUAAAUUUCAGCAAUCAAUCAAAGAUUUUUGGUCUUGAAUGGGGUGUGUUCUGACAUAUAGAGAACACACUACAUUCAAGACCAAACUCCAAAGCAUGCCAAAUUAUUUCCGAGGAGGUUCUGAUGAAGCAAAUACAAGGAUAUCAUCUUCUGAGGCAUCAACUAUACAAGAGGUACAGAUUGUCACUCCUUAAAUUUACCUACUUGAAUUGGUAAUUCAGAUAGCUAUUUCAAUUUCUCAAUUCCUUACUCAAUUUCUCUAACUAAAGUUAAAUUUUUUACGCAUUAAAUAAUCUGCAAAUUAUACUUUUAGGCUGCGCUCAGCUAAUGUUCAAUUCAUCCAGGAUGGUUAUUUAAUUCAUAAGUAAUGACUGUUGUCUUAUAGAGUUAUAUGUUAAACUAUCUGAUUGAUACUUUGGAUUAAAGCCAUAAGAAAACCCAAGAUUUUCUCUCUUUAGUCACUUGGCAUCUAAAAUUUUGCCAUGGGAUGGGAAAUGGAAUAUUAAUCUAGUAUAAAAUCUUUAGAUUGAGAUGCUACACCAAGAAAUCUUUAUAUAAACCAUGUUAUGAUCUAGUAUAUAUAUUAGUUUCAUAUGCAACAUCAAGAAAUCUUACUAUCAAUCAAUUGAUGAUCUAUAUCUUGGUUUAAAAUGCGAUGUCAAGAAAUCUUAAUAUCAUCCUUUAUGGGCAUUCUAACUGUUGUGUUGCAAGCAGAGUUUUGCUCGAUAGGUACUGAGUGCAUAAACUGAGUUCUGUGAACUGAAGAAUUGACUUGCAAGCAGUUUGGUAACUGUAGUAUACUACUUAAGUUUUGUCUGAACCAAAAUAAUUUACUCACAAACACCCAAUUUCUAAAACUCUGACUCAAUUCUGCUGUUCCUUACUUUAUGUUGCCAGGCAACCCACUUCAAUUAUGCAUUACAUUUGGCAGAUUUCUUUGUAUUUAUUAUUAAUUUAAAUUGCAGACUCAGUUUAUUGUUAGUUGCGUGUUGUAUUAUCAUCUAUAUGUGAUGUGGGCAAUUAUUUGUUGGGAAGCCCUCAUCUAUUGUAAUAUAGUUCAAAGCAAUAGCAUGUGCAUAUAGAUCAGGGAUUCACUUCGUGGAUAAUCGCUAGAGCUGGUGUAUCCUAUCCCCUGGUGAGCAGAGCCCCUUCCAGAUUUGUGCUAUUCGAUGUUGGUUAUCAGUAUUGAAGAUUCCACUAUGGUUCGGAACCUGUUGCUUCCCCGGAGAUCUGCCUAGGUUGAUAUUGUUGUGCUGCUGCUGCUGCUGCUGAAGCUGCUGGUGUGUUUGUCUGAUUUUGGUGAUGUUGAAUAUUUUGAUGCUGCUUCUGUGGUCGAUGUAGCUGCCUGCUGUUUGUGAGAGUCGAAGAUUGGAGCCCCACAGUGGACUACUCUAGUUUUUUCUACAUUGUUAGACCAAGUCGGAAUGUCCUGUUCAUUUUCUAGGCUAUUGAAUUCCAUUGUUUGUUGAUCAGGUUUUGCAAUUGCUGCUAGUGUGAUGUGUUAUUAUGCUGGCUUUUUCAGAAAGGCCAGAGCUGUUGGUUGUGGGCGGGAUUGAUUAACUUGGUUGUUGGAUGGCGUUCCGCUGGUAUAGCUUAAGCAAAGGUUGUUUUCUUAAUGUUACAUUAAUUUGGUGUUUUGAGGCUUGUAGAUCUGGUUUUAAGCUGUGCUUGGGUUUUGUUCUUGGUCGUCGAAACUCGUAAUUUAUGAUUCUGCUGCAUCUAACACGAGAUAGGUGCAAAGGAAAGCAUUUAAGCGUGGCAAAAUGUUCACUGAAGAUAAUCAUCAAUUAGCUUGCUGUUUUUUGCUUGCAUCUGGGAAGUUGUGGGUACAUUGGGUUUUGACCUGGGGAAACCCUACAGAGCCUGCGGCUGGUGACCAGGAUGAAUUCUACUUGAGAUCAGCUGACGGUAGUUAGGUGUGUAAGCUGAUUACAUUGGAGGCUCUUGAUAAGUCGAUGGGACUUAUAGUUUGACAUUUAGGCGUCUUCGACCAAGCCGGGGUGGAGUUUUCCUUGCUUGCCGUGUACGAUUCAUCUGCCAGCUGAACGGGUGGUGGUCCCAGCGGAGAUGCCAUGUUGUGGGCGUGCGAGCUGAUGAGUCUGUGCCAUGCAGGCAGAAGUAUGAGUCAGCAGCCGUGAUCAUAUACCAAGUCAGCUGCCAUGUAAGAGAGCAAAUGUUAAGUUGCAGUUAUUCAGCGCAAGUUAUAUCUCGCAUAAGUAGCAAGCUGGCUGGCAUGACAAGGUAGAUAAGUCGGCAGCUACAUGUCCCGAGGGAUGAGCCAGGUACAAUAUAAUAAGUUGGUCGCCUCCUCCUCACAAUAGUUAGAUGAGUAACCAGCCAUGUCUUUUGACAAGCUACAUUGUCGACGCUUUAGUAGCCAUGGUGCCACCAAGAUGAGUCGGCAAUAUUUUGCCAUUUUUUUGAAUCUUUUAGCAUUACUCGGAUAUGCAAUUUGAUUAAAUGAUUCGUGGAUCA